ensembl:lncRNA
UACACAGGAAAUGCCACGUGUACCAAGUGCGCAUGCGCGCUCUCCGUGCUCCGGUCGACUUCCGCUGAGAGGAAACCGCUGUUUAUCACCGCGACGCUCGGCAGCGCGAGACAGAGAUGACCGCCGCUCGCUAACCGACCCGACUUCACGAUGUCCAGCGGCGGCUUCGCGUCACAGAACGGCGCCGGAGGCUCGUACGCGAAUGGUGAGUAACCCGCGUCUGACGCGUUUAAACGCGCCGCGCGCAGGCCGAGAGUUUCUCCGGAGUUCGAUCGCGACGCGACGCGACGAGACCGGCCAGAACUCUAGUGCGUCGCGUCGCUGGAUGAGGGCCGAGUAAAGUUAAUCACUAGCGACUAGUCAGACGGGUUAACCGCGUUAGUUAGUUAGUUAGUUAGUUAGUGUACUGGUGACGAGACUCGCUUCAGUUCUACAGUCCGGAGUUAAGUGUGUAGAUGUCAUGAAAUACGGUCUUAUAGAAUUAAUUCGUCACAGUGCAGGUCAGGAGCAUUUUUAAACCAACAAGUGAAUGUAAAGAUGCUUAAAGGGGUCAUGUGAUGCUGCUAAGAAGAACAUUAUUUUGUGUAUUUGGUGUAAUGUGUUUAUGCAGUUUUAAGGUUAAAAACACAUUAUUUUCCGCAUACUGUACAUUAUUGUUUCUCCUCUGUCUUCUGAAACAUGUUAAUUUACACAAAGUUCAUCUCUCUGAAAAGCGAGGUGUGCUCUGAUUGGCCAGCUGUCCAGCGCGUUGUGAUUGGAUGAAUGCCUCAAGCGUGUGACGGAAAUGUUACGCCUCUUAAAGCGUUAGUUCACCCAAAAAAAUGAAAAUUAUGUCAUUAAUGACUCACCCUCAUGUCGUUCCAAACCCGUGAGACCUCCGUUCAUCUUCGGAACACAGUUUAAGAUAUUUUAGAUUUAGUCCGAGAGCUUUCUGUCCCUCCAUUGAGAAUGUAUGUACGGUAUACUGUCCACGUCCAGAAAGGUAAUAAAAACAUCUUCAAAGUAGUCCAUGUGACAUCAGAGGGUCCGUUAGAAUUUACUGAAGCAUCGAAAAUACAUUUUGGUCCAAAAAUAUCAAAAAUGACAACUUUAUUCAGCAUUUUCUUCUCUUCCGGGUCUGCUGACGUGUUUUCUUUGUUAUUGGGC